CUCACUCUAUCUAUUUAGCUUUGUCAAACAUUUCUCAUAAGUCAUUAGUUAAGCUUAAAAUUUUUAGAAACCCAAUUCAUCCCCCCUCUUGGGUUGCAUAGCUGGGCAACAAGUGGUAUCAGAGCCCGAUGCUCUAGCCCUUCUUUGAUCUAAACAAUCAAAGAGCCAAAGAUCUAUGGCAACCCAUGUCGACACUUUUCUAGCCGAGGGGCAAUCCACCA
rnacentral:lncRNA from 1 species